AUGGGCGACCUUUAUUGUCUGGUAGUGUCACCCAUGAAUCAAAACCUAUAGAAGUGACGUUUAAGGGCCAUAGUAGUCAUAUUAUUUUUAAUAUUAUUAGAACCCCAUCAAACCCUAUUAUUCAUUGGAGCAAGAGCGUUUGUAAGAUCGUCCAAGGAAGGCACACCGUUUGUCAUUUAUGUGGCUCCAACUACCGGGGAGAAGAUCUCAACAACAAGUAUACCAGAGCAAUAUAAGGAUUUUAAAGACGUGUUUCAAAAGAAGAAUGCCGACAUGCUACCAAAACACCGACCAUAUGAUUGUGCCAUAGACUUGUAGGAAGGAGCACAA
rnacentral:lncRNA from 1 species